GUCUACAGCCAUUCCACUCUGAAUGUGCCUGAUAUAGUCAUAUCUUGGAAGCUAAGCUGGGUCAGGCCUGAUUACUACUCAGAUGGCAGAGUGUAAAAUAUAGACACUGUUUUUU
rnacentral:rRNA from 1 species